UGGGGAAUUUUGGACAAUGGGCGAAAGCCUGAUCCAGCAAUGCCGCGUGUGUGAAGAAGGCCUUCGGGUUGUAAAGCACUUUUGUCCGGAAAGAAAUCCUUGGACUCUAAUACAGUCGGGGGAUGACGGUACCGGAAGAAUAAGCACCGGCUAACUACGUGCCAGCAGCCGCGGUAAUACGUAGGGUGCAAGCGUUAAUCGGAAUUACUGGGGCGUAAAGCGUGCGCAGGCGGUUUGCUAAGACCGAUGUGAAAUCCCCGGGCUCAACCUGGGAACUGCAUUGGUGACUGGCAGGCUAGAGUAUGGCAGAGGGGGGUAGAAUUCCACGUGUAGCAGUGAAAUGCGUAGAGAUGUGGAGGAAUACCGAUGGCGAAGGCAGCCCCCUGGGCCAAUACUGACGCUCAUGCACGAAAGCGUGGGGGAGCAAACAGGAUUAGAUACCCUGGUAGUCCAGCGCCCUAAACGAUGUCAACUAGUUGUUGGGGAUUCAUUUCCUUAGUAACGUAGCUAACGCGUGAAGUUGACCGCCUGGGGAGUACGGUCGCAAGAUU
rnacentral:rRNA from 1 species